rnacentral:rRNA from 1 species
UACAGAGGGGGCGAGCGUUGUUCGGAAUUACUGGGCGUAAAGGGCGCGUAGGUGGCCUGUUAAGUCGAACGUGAAAUCCCCCGGGCUCAACCCGGGGAACUGCGUCCGAGACUGGCAGGCUCGAAUCCGGGAGAGGGAUGUGGAAUUCCAGGUGUAGCGGUGAAAUGCGUAGAUAUCGGGAGGAACACCAAUGGCGAAAGCAGCUCUCUGGGACGGUACUGACGCUGAGACGCGAAAGCGUGGGGAGCGAACAGG